UACAGAGGUGGCGAGCGUUGUUCGGAUUUACUGGGCGUAAAGGGCGCGUAGGCGGUCUCGUGUGUCGGAUGUGAAAUCCCGUCGCUCAACGACGGAACGCCAUUCGAAACUGCGGGACUCGAGGGCAGGAGAGGAGAGCGGAACUCUUGGUGUAGCGGUGAAAUGCGUUGAUAUCAAGAAGAACACCAGUGGCGAAGGCGGCUCUCUGGAAUGCUACUGACGCUGAGGCACGAAAGCGUGGGGAG
rnacentral:rRNA from 1 species